AUGUGGCAAGCAAAGGUUUGGAGAUGCAUAUCCGAAGACAUCAAAUGGUGUGUUCGAAGUUACAUCUCCGAAUUCUGGGAUGGCCCAGCGACUGCUCUGUACAUGGUUUUGUUGGAUCGGAACGAAUCAUCAACUUUUGCAGACAGUGCACAAGCUGAUAUCUGGAGCAGUUUGCAGUUAUUGAUUACAAUGGACGUGUCGAAUACUUCAACAUCUUUUGCAGAGGUUAAAGUACUCCUCUUUAUUAGGAUGAAGCUAAAGUUGUGUCAUUUCAAAUGGGUACAGAAUCUUGCAAAUUGGAUGAAAAUUUGUUUCACUGAAUCGUCAUCUUUUGCAGGGACAUGA
rnacentral:lncRNA from 1 species